rnacentral:rRNA from 1 species
GAUCAUGGCUCAGAUUGAACGCUGGCGGCAGGCCUAACACAUGCAAGUCGAACGGUAACAGGAAGAAGCUUGCUCUUUGCUGACGAGUGGCGGACGGGUGAGUAAUGUCUGGGAAACUGCCUGAUGGAGGGGGAUAACUACUGGAAACGGUAGCUAAUACCGCAUAACGUCGCAAGACCAAAGAGGGGGACCUUCGGGCCUCUUGCCAUCGGAUGUGCCCAGAUGGGAUUAGCUUGUUGGUGGGGUAACGGCUCACCAAGGCGACGAUCCCUAGCUGGUCUGAGAGGAUGACCAGCCACACUGGAACUGAGACACGGUCCAGACUCCUACGGGAGGCAGCAGUGGGGAAUAUUGCACAAUGGGCGCAAGCCUGAUGCAGCCAUGCCCCCGCGUGUAUGAAGAAGGCCUUCGGGUUGUAAAGUACUUUCAGCGGGGAGGAAGGGAGUAAAGUUAAUACCUUUGCUCAUUGACGUUACCCGCAGAAGAAGCACCGGCUAACUCCGUGCCAGCCGCGGC